GUGACCGCGUUACAAAAGAAAAAGAUAAGGAGAAAUUAUAUUUUCUACAAAGUUUUUUGGAUGUAAUUGCCAAACAUAAAUCUUCAAAACAUUAUAAUCAUUCUCAGGAUUAUAAACUAUUCUCGGAAUUUACUCAGUCAAAUGUUGAUAUAUCAUACGUAUCAAAAAGUAUAAGCAUUAAAUUAUAUAGAAAAUAGCGUUUUAUAAUCAAAAGAGAACAAGAUCAAAAUAGAAAUUAAACAGAACGAUGCUAACAGAGUAUUAAUUAGCAGCUCAUUCUUGACCACAAAGGAUAGUGCUAGUUCUAUGACUGCUGAUACACCCAAAUUUAUUCACAGACUCUUCAUCUAGAUACACAAUCGCCUAUAAGAACAUCUAUACAUCUACAUUCUAUUUAUUUCGCCGCCAUUGCGGGCCAAGGAUUAAUUAACAGAUAUUCUUGCACCAGUAUUGAAUCUAAUACAUCAACAAUGUCUGAUGCGUCUCAAUCCAAUAUUUCCCAAGAGACCAUUAUUCAGGAGUUGACAGAAAAUGGAACAGCUGAGAAAAAGAGCUCACGUACGUUGAAUGUGACACAGGUCGCCUAGGUAUAAUAAGUUGCAAUCCCUCGGAAGUGAAAGACAUAUUACUUUAUUUCCUAUUAUUAUUAAAUGUUUGGAUGAUUAUCAAGUGAUUGCUUGGUAGCAGCAAUGCAAUGAUACAGAACUACUGAGCUUUUUCACAGUGAUUGAGAUAUUCUUUUUGCGAAUGAAGGCGAUUGUUGUUAUGCAAAAGUUUUCAAUAUUUAUUUAUCGUUUCUUUAAGUCGGUAAUGCUGUGCUUUGCGGUCGCUUAUGUUAUGAAUUACUACGUUGCUGUAAUAGUAAGCUAAGUUCCAUACGACAGGAGUCCUGUGUUUUAAUAUGUUUGCUCAUGCAAAGUAAUUUUAAGUUUACCAGUCGGAAAGGACUAGAGUGCAUUUGCAGAAUUGAAAGCUUUAAAAUCUAUUACAUGUUUGUAGGUGAUAAUUUUACUUUCUCAAAUGUUGAAGGAUAAUUAGGUAAGUUAAAAGGUAUAAUUAGUCUGAACAAUUCACGAUUUCAAGAAUCGCUAUCGUUAAUCAACAGCUAUGCCUCUUUUGAUAAAAUGAUGAAAAGUACAGGUUUUCCAGUUAAAGUGAAAGAUUUUAAUAAAAGAAUACAAUUUUAAUUCAAUUUUAAUUCAAUCAAGAAUAGAUAUAAGAAAUAUUAAUCUGAAGGUUUUUAGGUGUUCAAGAUGUUCAGUAUAACGAGUUUUUUAUUCGAACAAAGAAGUUUGUGCCGAUACAUUGGAGAAAACCGAGCAUUUCGAAUUGCUUUGAUACUUACAUUGUUUAAUAGUUCCUAUGUACGAAAAGAAAUUACGAAGCUUUAGCUAAUUAUUAUUCGCAUUUGACGCAAGCCUAUAAUAAAAUUAUAGAAAU